UUAAGUUCAGCGGGCAUCCCUACCUGAUCCGAGGUCAAGAGUGUAAAAAUGUACUUUUGGGCGUCGUCGUUCUGAGUGCAAAGCGCGAGAUGUACUGCGCUCCGAAAUCAAUACGCCGGCUGCCAAUUGUUUUGAGGCGAGUCUGCGCGCAGAGGCGAGACAAUCACCCAACACCAAGCAAAGCUUGAAGGUACAAAUGA
rnacentral:misc_RNA from 1 species